rnacentral:rRNA from 1 species
ACUCMUACGGGAGGCAGCAGUGGGGAAUCUUCCGCAAUGGACGAAASUCUGASGGAGCAACGCCGCGUGAACGAUGACGGCCUUCGGGUUGUAAAGUUCUGUUAUACGGGGCGAAUGGCGUASCGGUCAAUACCCGUUACGAGUGACGGUACCGUAAGAGAAAGCCACGGCUAACUACGUGCCAGCAGCCGCGGUAWUACGUAGGUGSCAAGCGUUKUCCGGAAUUAUUGGGSGUAAAGGGCGCGCAGGCGGCGUYGUAAGUCGGUCUUAAAAGUGCGGGGCUUAACCCCGUGAGGGGACCGAAACUGCGAUGCUAGAGUAUCGGAGAGGAAAGCGGAAUUCCUAGUGUAGCGGUGAAAUGCGUAGAUAUUAGGAGGAACACCAGUGGCGAAAGCGGCUUUCUGGACGACAACUGACGCUGRGGCGCGAAASCCAGGGGAGCAAACGGGAUUAGAUACCCCGGUAGUCCUGGCCGUAAACGAUGGAUACUGGGUGUAGGAGGUAUCGACCCCUUCUGUGCCGGAGUUAACGCAAUAAGUAUCCCGCCUGGGGKGUACGGCCGCAAGGCUGAAACUCAAAUGAAUUGACGGARGAC